rnacentral:rRNA from 1 species
UACGUAGGGUGCGAGCGUUAAUCGGAAUACUGGGCGUAAAGCGUGCGCAGGCGGUUUUGUAAGCCAGAUGUGAAAUCCCCCGGGCUUAAUCGGAACGGUCAAGUGAUAACUGUUCGUACUAGAGUACAGAAGGGGCAACUGGAAUUCUCGGUGUAGCGGUGAAAAUGCGUAGAUAUCGGGAGAACACCAGUGGCGAAGGCGGCUUCCUGGCCUGUUCUUGACGCUGAGGAGCGAAAAAGCGUGGGGGAGCAAACAGGG